CCUGGAGCCCGGAAGCGCGCUGCCGUGAGUGUGGGCUUGCAGACUUUGGUGCCGCUGGGAACCUAGACUUACUGAAGUUUGUCCGCUCUGUUUUUGUGUGACUUAAGAAUAAGUCGCUCUUCGUUUACCCGCUCUCAGACCAUUUCCUUUUGCAAGGGGGAAAAAAUAUCCACCGUUUGACUCAGUUUUCAGCUGAGCAGCCUCCUUUCCCAGGCUCUGGCAGUGGUCUCUAAGACUAGGAAAAACUGGUUAGAAGUUUUAACAUACACCUCUGGCAGCUAAGAAGUUCCAUGUAUUGAAACUUCAAGCAAAAAACAGUUCCUUGGUUUUUGCUUGGUCUUGGUUUUGCUUAAGCUGCCUUCCCUUCCACCGCCUUAACUAGAUGGUGAGUUACCCCGUGAGAUCCCAGCUCCAGUCCAGUCACUUAUGAACUCAUCCUUGAGAGCUGGGUCUAGUCUCGCCAGCGUCUCCAAGCCUAGUUUAUCUGAUUUAAAAAAGAAGAAUAACCAUACAAAGAUGUUUUGAAGGUUAAGGUAAUGGUAGUGAAUUUCAAAGCAGGCUAGACCACAUGUGGAGAGUUUGACAUUAGAGAAUGGUACCUAUUGUUAUGGUCACAAAUGAAUCCUAACCAAGCAAUGAAGUGGAAUUUUUUUUUUCUCUGUUCUGACAGGAUCAGUGUUUGACCAAUGGUAUAUGAAGAUAAGUAAGAAGCCAAAAUGAUAUACAAUUUAAUGUUCAAAAUUAUGAUACCCACGUAUGAGAUAAUGUGAAAAGAUAAACUCUUGCAAGUUUUCUGCCAGUCCAGCAAUUUGUAUCAAGACUACUACAAAUUUUCACAUCCUUUAGCCCAGCAAUUACUCUUCUUGGAAUUUAUCCUAAAUCUAAUGAAAACCCUGAAAAGGUUUUUUGUUGUGUGUAUUUGUGUGUAGUGUGUGUCCAUUUAAAUAUACCAAAUGUCUAACAGUAAGUAUAUUGAUUAAGUCAUCACUUUCCAACCUCUCAUUUAGCCCAUAUUUUCCAAAGUGGGGGUGGGGGGCAGGGGUGUCCUCCGUUAAAUCGUUUAAAAUUUCAAAAUAAAUAGGUUGGUUAAAACAAAUCAGAAUGAUGAGGGUGAAAAAUAAACCCCAGAUUUCUUCUAUCUGCCUGUGCAGAUAUGACCCUCUCCUUAGAAUAACUGGGUAACUUAAAUUAAGGAAUAAGCAUGCAAUGAGAUCUUAUAAAGUCAGUAAAAAUCAUAUGAUAUUUCAUGUAUAGAUAUUUUCUUACAUAUGAAGUUUAGUAAUUAAAUUUAAUAAAAUCAGUAGCCAACACAUAGAAUAUGAAGUAAUAUAGGAUGUAGAGCAUAUCAGCAUAUAAAAUAUGUUGCUAUACAUGUAUGUAUCUUCCUUGAAAUAGAAUAAAAUGUACAAAAUCUUUAAGUCAUCUGUAGUGUCAAAC
rnacentral:lncRNA from 1 species